UACGUAGGGGGCGAGCGUUUGUCCGGAUUUAUUGGGCGUAAAGAGCUCGUAGGCGGUUCGGUAAGUCGGAUGUGAAAUCUCCACGCUCAACGUGGAGGGGGCCAUUCGAUACUGCCGUGACUCGAGUCCGGUAGGGGAGUGUGGAAUUCCCGGUGUAGCGGUGAAAUGCGCAGAGAUCGGGAGGAACACCCGUAGCGAAGGCGGCACUCUGGGCCGGUACUGACGCUGAGGAGCGAAAAGCGUGGGGAGCAAACAGGG
rnacentral:rRNA from 1 species